UCUAGGGGGUGUAGCAAUACAUCACCGGCGGACGGGUGCGUAACGCGUGGGAAUAUACCUUUUGGUUCGGGACAACUGAGGGAAACUUCAGCUAAUACCGAAUGUGCCCUUACGGGGAAAGAUUUAUCGCCAAAGGAUUAGCCCGCGUAGGAUUAGCUAGUUGGUGAGGUAAUGGCUCACCAAGGCUCCGAUCCUUAGCUGUUCUGAGAGGAAGAUCAGCCACACUGGGACUGAGACACGGCCCAGACUCCUACGGGAGGCAGCAGUUGGGAAUCUUGGACAAUGGGGGAAACCCUGAUCCAGCCAUGCCGCGUGAGUGAUGAAGGCCUUCGGGUUGUAAAACUCUUUCGACGGGGACGAUAAUGACGGUACCCGUAGAAGAAGCUCCGGCUAACUUCGUGCCAGCAGCCGCGGUAAUACGAAGGGGGCUAGCGUUGUUCGGAAUUACUGGGCGUAAAGCGCGCGCAGGCGGUCUUCCAAGUCAGUGGUGAAAGCCCGGAGCUCAACUCCGGAACUGCCAUUGAAACUGUGAGACUUGAGGAUGAGAGAGGUGAGUGGAAUUCCCAGUGUAGAGGUGAAAUUCGUAGAUAUUGGGAAGAACACCGGUGGCGAAGGCGGCUCACUGGCUCAUUACUGACGCUCAGGCGCGACAGCGCGGGGAUCAAACAGGAUUAGAUACCCUGGUAGUCCACGCCGUAAACGAUGAAUGCUAGCCGUUGGGCAGCUUGCUGUUCAGUGGCGCAGCUAACGCAUUAAGCAUUCCGCCUGGGGAGUAC
rnacentral:rRNA from 1 species